rnacentral:snRNA from 1 species
AUACUUACCUGGCAGGGGAGAUACCAUGAUCACAAAGGUGGUUUUCCCAGGGCGAAUCUUCUCCAUUGCACUCCGGAUGUGCUGACCCCUGUGAUUUCCCCAAAUGUGGGAAACUCGACUGCAUAAUUUGUGGUAGUGGGGGACUGCAUUUUCGCUUUCCCCUG